rnacentral:rRNA from 1 species
UAAGGAAUAUUGGUCAAUGGACGCAAGUCUGAACCAGCCAUGCCGCGUGGAGGAUGAAGGUCCUCUGGAUUGUAAACUUCUUUUAUCUGGGACGAAACACUUCUUUUCUAAGAGGCCUGACGGUACCAGAUGAAUAAGCACCGGCUAACUCCGUGCCAGCAGCCGCGGUAAUACGGAGGGUGCAAGCGUUAUCCGGAUUCACUGGGUUUAAAGGGUGCGUAGGUGGGUAUGUAAGUCAGUGGUGAAAUCCCCGAGCUUAACUUGGGAACUGCCAUUGAUACUAUAUAUCUUGAAUACCGUAGAGGUAAGCGGAAUAUGUCAUGUAGCGGUGAAAUGCUUAGAUAUGACAUGGAACACCAAUUGCGAAGGCAGCUUACUAUGCGGUGAUUGACACUGAGGCACGAAAGCGUGGGUA